UUAGUGUCCCCUUCAUGAACAAAUAUCCAAUGCAGUACUGAGAGAGCACAUGUUUAAAGAAAAUAUCUCUGACUUCAGGAUUGGCGGAAUCAAAUGGGAACUCAGUAGAUUUUAAUUAGCCACUCGCCCAAAUAUAAUUUUAGUGAUCAGAUUGGGGGAUGCAUGGGUUAGAUGAUGCCACCACAUCAAGAAGGCAACGUCUAUCAUCAGAGAUCUCCACCAUGUCAUCCUCUCACAGCAGGAGGUACAGAAGCCUGAAGUCCCACACCACCUGGUUCAGGAACAGCUACUUCCCUUCAACCACUCAGUUCUUGAACCAACUGGCACAGCCCUCAUCACUACAGAAAACACUGGGCUACCUAGAAGUUGAGGAAAAUUAAGAAAAAUGAACAUUAAGCAAGAGAAUGCGGUCUGUGCCCUUCCAGCAUUUCGUGUGUGAUGCUCCAGAUUUCCAGCAUCUGCAGAAUCUCUUGUGGAUUCUCCCAGGAACUCUUUGGAUUACCGAUCUUAGUGAAGCUUGGACCUCUUCAGAGACCGUUUUCCUGUUUUUUCUCAUUCCUUUAUAUAAACUAUUCUCAAAAUUGUAAUUUAAUCUUCAUUGUCUGAUCUUUAACAAAAGGAGAUGCAAAAUGCACUUAUUUAAUACUCCUUUAUAACUAAUAUCGCCUGUGUGUUUUCACAUCACUUUACAGUGAGGAGGAGAGCAGCAUCAA